CCCACCCGGCACUCACACAGACGGCCACAGUUCUGUCCAAAGAAGCCAGAGGGACACCCUGGGGACAACACAGGGAAAAAGCUUUGAGUGCACUCCAGUCCAUCCCAGGCCACACGUGCAGCUCCCAUCCCUGGGCUCACACAGCGCUCCGUUCUGACAGACACACGUGUUCCUGCACUGCAGCCCAUAGCGCCCCCUAGGGCAGGCUGGAGGAACAGCGGGCAGUUAGCCUUCAUCACCGGUGCUACCAAGGCUAGCUUUACCAGCUGUUCCCGGUGAGACCAGCAGGGCAGCCACAUGUUCCAGUCACAUGGUGGCAUGGCAUACCAGCCUGGCACUGGCACUGCUGGG